AUUGAACGCUGGCGGCAGGCCUAACACAUGCAAGUCGAACGGUAACAGGCAUACGCUUGCUUCUUUGCUGACGAGUGGCGGACGGGUGAGUAAUGUCUGGGCAACUGCCUGAUGGAGGGGGAUAACUACUGGAAACGGUAGCUAACACCGCAUAACGUCGCAAGACCAAAGAGGUGGACCUUCGGUCCUCUUGCCAUCGGAUGUGCCCAUAUGGGCUUAGUUAGGAGGUGGGGUAACGGCUCACCUAGGCGACGAUCCCUAGCUGGAGGGAGAGGAUGACAAGCCACACUGGAGCUGAGACAGGGUCAAGAGUCCUGCGGGAGGCAGCAGUCGGGAAUAUUGCGCAGUGGGCGCAAGCAUGAUGCAGCGAUGCCGAGUGUAUGGAGAAGGCCUUCGGUUGGUAAAGUACGUUCAGCGGGGAGGAAGGGAGUAAAGUUAAUACCAUUGCUCAUUGACGUUACCCGCAGAAGAAGCACCGGCUAACUCCGUG
rnacentral:rRNA from 1 species